CUGCGAUUAUUCCUGCUGUUCUGAUUUUGCCACGAUCGGGACAGGCCAACCAUUCGCUCUAUUCUAUCAAGACCAUGCGUGUUGUCCCCAGGCCUAGUUCUUUAGGCACCUAGGUCUGGACUUAGCCAUGCUGGUGAUAAAU